rnacentral:rRNA from 1 species
GUCUAUGGCCAGACCACCCUGAACUAGCCCGAUCCCGUCUGAUCUUGGAUGCUAAGCAGGAUUGGGGCUGCUUAGUACUUGGAUGGGAGACCACCUAGGAGGAUCAGAUGCUGUAGGCA